rnacentral:rRNA from 1 species
AGAGUUUGAUCAUGGCUCAGAUUGAACGCUGGCGGCAUGCCUAACACAUGCAAGUCGAACGGCAGCAUGAGGGAGCUUGCUCCCUUGAUGGCGAGUGGCGGACGGGUGAGUAAUACAUCGGGACCUACCCUGUCGUGGGGGAUAACCUCGGGAAACCGGGACUAAUACCGCAUACGACCUGGCAUCGAGAGAUGCAUGGUGAAAGCGGGGGACCUUCGGGCCUCGCGCGACUGGAUGGACCGAUGUUCGAUUAGCUUGUUGGUGGGGUAACGGCCCACCAAGGCCGCGAUCGAUAGCUGGUCUGAGAGGAUGAUCAGCCACACUGGGACUGAGACACGGCCCAGACUCCUACGGGAGGCAGCAGUGGGGAAUAUUGGACAAUGGGGGCAACCCUGAUCCAGCAAUGCCGCGUGUGUGAAGAAGGCCUUCGGGUUGUAAAGCACUUUUAUCGGGAGCGAAAUCGGUUCGGCCAAUACCCGGAUCGUCUGACGGUACCCGAGGAAUAAGCACCGGCUAACUCCGUGCCAGCCGCCGCGGUAAUAC